rnacentral:lncRNA from 10 species
CUUCUCUUCUGUCUCACAACUGCCUUGCUCCUCCCAUCCUACACUGUUUUGCAUGUAACUACUGCCAAAAGACCUGGUUUUACUUAGCCAGUGAGAAGUAAGAAAAAUUAUUUUAGAACGUUCCUAGGAAUAUCGUUGCGUCGCCUGUUUCAUUUAACCCUGGCUUUCCUGUUUAUUCUUCUCUUAAACACAAGCAUAAAAGCAGAAGUUGGAAGAGCUUGCAUGUUUUCAUCAUGGAAAGUUAAUAAUCAGAGAUUUCAGUUCCAGCAUGCUGAGGCAAUAUUUAUCCUAACCCCCGCAUCAAUUUUUUAGCAAUGAAGUUUCUGAGUUACAUGAAUACUAUAUACAUGUAAUACUAGUAAAUUUGAUAUACAGCAUGAAAAUGUCUCUGAACCCACUGGAGUAAGAAUGUGAUUCAUAAAGUAGCACUCCAUCAAAAGGACAAUUGCCUUCCAGCAAAGGCUGGGCACAUUUCGUGACAUCUAUUAGAAAAGAGUUCAGGUAAUCACAAGGAAGCACAGUUUUCCUUCUCAUCAAGCCACCAACUCUAUGACAAUGGCUCUCAUUUGGGGAUGAAGCAAAGCAGUUACUGAAAAUCAAAAGAAUGUUGAGAAGAGAAAAGUUGUCAUGGAAAGAGCUCUGACCCCUAAUUCAGCUGAGGCUACCAGAGAAGCAGAGUCCCUGCCUCUUUUUUUAUCAGGCCCUUAGCAACUCACUUAUGGUGAAUACUAGUGAUGUAGUUUGCUUGUACAUAAAUUUCCUACCAAAAUGUAUGAAUUUUAUACCAUUUGGCAUUCUUUGUUUCAAUGAAUAAAUCUCAAACUUUACUCUUUUAUUUUAUUUGUCUGAUUACAUGUCUAUGUCACCAAAUCUGUGAAAUCCUGUAAGGCAGAAAAAAAUGUCUUCACAUAUCUAUACUUUAAGAUACCAAUGCUCACCUGGCAUAUGGCAGGGCACAACACGUAUUUGAUGACUAAAUGAAAAUAAUAUAAAAUAUCACCUAGUUAUACACCAAUAAUCUGAGACAUAAUUAUCAUAUCUGAGAUCUGUGUGAUUUUUUUUGAGAUGGAGUUUUGCUCUGUUGCCCAGGCUGGAGUGCAAUGGCACAAUCUCAGCUCACUGCAACCUCUGCCUCCCAGGUUCAAGCAAUUCUCCUUUCUCAGCCUCCCAAGUAGCUGGGAUUACAGGUGCAUGUCACCAUGCCUUGCUAAUUUUUGUAUUUUUAGUAGAGAUGGGGUUUCACCAUGUUGGCCAGGCUGGUCUUCAACUCCUGACCUCAGGUGAUCUGUCUGCCUCGGCCUCCCCAAGUGCUGGGAUUAUCGGAUUGAGCCACUGUAUUAUACAUGUUGUUAUUUAUUAACACAACAUCACGUUUUAAUCUUACCACAGAACCUUAAUGAAACACGGAAGCUGUUUUAUUUCCAAUUCAAACAUGAGUUAAGUAAAACACAUAAAGUUAAUUGAGUUGGCAGAGUAAAAAAGAUAGUAAGUGACAUAAUUCAGAUUUGAACUUCAUUCAUGUUGAGCCUAAAUUCGGUGUUGUUUCAAUGUGACUGAGCUAUCAGCACCUCACUUAGAUUACAUUAAGGAGUCCAUUCAUUUUAACCAUGGCCAAUGAUUUACUUAGCAGAAUUUUAUAUAAAUAAUAUUACAGAGUUUGUGAAUGUAUAAUCCCAAUAAUUAUGCAGUUCUCAAUCUUCAGUAGCAUCUAACUGUACAUACUCUGAGAAAUUUCACAUUAUAUUUACUGCACUUAAAGUACAACUGGCUCCAUUUGUUUAUUAAUGCAGGAAAAGGUGCCUUUUUAUAGAUUUUUUAAAUAGAUUAAAAAAGUGCUAUUUUAGCUUUUUAAAGUUUUGAUGGAAACUUUUCUCUAAUUGCAAUCAGUAUUAAAAAUUUGUUCUGAGUUAUAAGAAUGAAUAUAGAAAUUCACCUAUUGAGUAUUGAUGCCAUGGCAAGAAAAUUUAUCCUAGUCUUUCCUCUUCUCGUUGGAUAUUGUUAAGAGGUCAAUACAAAAUUAUAUUUAAGAGGUAAUAAAAUCAAAGUAUAGAGAGUUGAGUUGACUUAUACAUAUAUGUGUGUGUGUGAAUCGGCCUUCUUAAAAUUUCUAUGUCACAAAUCUAAAAGUGUCCUCUAAACCCUGCCUUAUAAAUAAUUAUAUGAUGACAAUUGUAUAAAGUUUAAGUUGAAUGCUAUCAGACGUCAAAGAGAAGUGGUUCUCCAGGAAAAAAUAAUAAGAAAACAAUUAUCAAAAAAGUAUCUUGACUUCUGGAUGUAAGCACUGUAACUGAAUUUUACAAUCUGAGUUGAUACAGACAUCAGUCUUUAUUGAGUUGUGAUUUUCACUUCAGACAAUAAAAAUGUAUUACCUUUUCUAUAAUUUUUACCCAGGGUAAUCUUGCUUUAAAUGUGUUUCUUAGUUGCCAAGGCAACCAGCAUUCCUUAUCUUGCCAUUUACACUUAUUUUGAACACUUAUUGUAGUUUUUUGGUCCUUUUUCUUUAAACAAUGGCCUAACAAAUACAUGCAAUAUCUGCAAAAGUUAUUAAAAAUGAUAAUUUCAAAAAUUAUUCUGA